rnacentral:rRNA from 2 species
CAUCGAGUUUUUGAACGCAAGUUGCGCCCGAAGCCUUUGGCUGAGGGCACGUCUGCCUGGGCGUCACGC